AUUGAACGCUGGCGGCAGGCUUAACACAUGCAAGUCGAGCGGAGAUGAGGUGCUUGCACCUUAUCUUAGCGGCGGACAGGUGAGUAAUGCUUAGGAAUCUGCCUAUUAGUGGGGGACAACAUUCCGAAAGGAAUGCUAAUACCGCAUACGUCCUACGGGAGAAAGCGGGGGAUCUUCGGACCUUGCGCUAAUAGAUGAGCCUAAGUCGGAUUAGCUAGUUGGUGGGGUAAAGGCCUACCAAGGCGACGAUCUGUAGCGGGUCUGAGAGGAUGAUCCGCCACACUGGGACUGAAACACGGCCCAGACUCCUACGGGAGGCAGCAGUGGGGAAUAUUGGACAAUGGGGGGAACCCUGAUCCAGCCAUGCCGCGUGUGUGAAGAAGGCCUUAUGGUUGUAAAGCACUUUAAGCGAGGAGGAGGCUACUGAGACUAAUACUCUUGGAUAGUGGACGUUACUCGCAGAAUAAGCACCGGCUAACUCUGUGCCAGCCGCCGCCGUAAUAC
rnacentral:rRNA from 1 species